rnacentral:rRNA from 1 species
CGAACGGACUUGAGAGAGCUUGCUCUCUCAAGUUAGUGGCGGACGGGUGAGUAACACGUGAGCAACCUGCCUUUAAGAGUGGGAUAACGGUCGGAAACGACCGCUAAUACCGCAUAAUAUACAUGAAUCGCAUGGUUUGUGUAUCAAAGAUUUAUCGCUUAAAGAUGGGCUCGCGUCUGAUUAGCUGGUUGGUGAGGUAACGGCUCACCAAGGCGACGAUCAGUAGCCGUACUGAGAGGUAGAACGGCCACAUUGGGACUGAGACACGGCCCAGACUCCUACGGGAGGCAGCAGUGGGGAAUAUUGGGCAAUGGGCGCAAGCCUGACCCAGCAACGCCGCGUGAAGGAAGAAGGCUUUCGGGUUGUAAACUUCUUUUCUGAGGGACGAUAGUGACGGUACCUCAGGAAUAAGCCACGGCUAACUACGUGCCAGCAGCCGCGGUAAUACGUAGGUGGCAAGCGUUAUCCGGAUUUACUGGGUGUAAAGGGAGCGUAGACGGCAUGGCAAGUCUGAAGUGAAAGCCCGGGGCUCAACCGCGGGACUGCUUUGGAAACUGUUAAGCUGGAGUGCAGGAGAGGUAAGUGGAAUUCCUAGUGUAGCGGUGAAAUGCGUAGAUAUUAGGAGGAACACCAGUGGCGAAGGCGGCUUACUGGACUGUAACUGACGUUGAGGCUCGAAAGCGUGGGGAGC